UACAAAGGUGCCAAGCGUUAGGCGGAAUCACUGGGCUUAAAGCGCGCGUAGGCGGAUGUUUAAGUGUCUUGUGAAAUCCCACGGCUCAACCGUGGAACUGCUGGGCAUACUGGACAUCUCGAGGCACUCAGGGGCGAGCGGAACAAGUGGUGGAGCGGUGAAAUGCGUAGAUAUCUGGAGGAACAUCAGUGGCGAAGGCGACACCCUGGACUCAUACUGACACUGAGGUGCGAAAAGCGUGGGGGAGCAAACAGG
rnacentral:rRNA from 1 species